GACCCGUCUUGAAACACGGACCAAGGAGUCUAACAUGGGCGCGAGUUAUUGGGUUGUUAAACCUAAAAGCGCAAUGAAAGUAAAGGCCAACUCUGUUGGCUGAUAUAGGAUCCCUGGCUUUGCCGGGGCGCACUAUAGUCCCAUCCCGUCCGCAUCGUCGGUGGGGUGGAGACAGAGCGUGCAUGUUGGGACCCGAAAGAUGGCGAACUAUGCGUGUGCAGGAUGAAGCCAGAGGAAACUCUGGUGGAGGUCCAUAGCGGUUCUGACGUGCAAAUCGAUCGUCGGACAUGCGUAUAGGGGCGAAAGACUAAUCGAGCUAUCUAGUAGCUGGUUUCCUCCGAAGUUUCCCUCAGGAUAGCUGGUGCUCGGAGCAGUUUUAUCCGGUAAAGCGAAUGAUUAGAGGCCUUGGGGACGAAAUGACCUCAACCUAUUCUCAAACUUUAAAUGGGUAAGAAGUCUGGCUUGCCUGACCGAAGCCUAGACAAUUGAAUGCAGAGUGCCAAGUGGGCCAUUUUUGGUAAGCAGAACUGGCGCUGUGGGAUGAACCAAACGUCGAGUUAAGGUGCCUGAUCUUCUCGCUCAUCAGACCCCAGAAAAGGUGUUGGUUGAUAUAGACAGCAGGACGGUGGCCAUGGAAGUCGGAAUCCGCUAAGGAGUGUGU
rnacentral:rRNA from 1 species